CAGCAGCCGCGGGAAUACCGAGGGUGCGAGCGUUAAUCGGAUUUACUGGGCGUAAAGCGUGCGUAGGCGGCUUUUUAAGUCGGAUGUGAAAUCCCUGAGCUUAACUUAGGAAUUGCAUUCGAUACUGGGAAGCUAGAGUAUGGGAGAGGAUGGUAGAAUUCCAGGUGUAGCGGUGAAAUGCGUAGAGAUCUGGAGGAAUACCGAUGGCGAAGGCAGCCAUCUGGCCUAAUACUGACGCUGAGGUACGAAAGCAUGGGGAGCAAACAGGAUUAGAGACCCCUGUAGUCCCUGUCUCUUAUAC
rnacentral:rRNA from 1 species